CCUUCGUAGGACCAAGGGCAGCCCUCAGAAGGGCACCCUACCCUGCCAAACCCCCUCACAGUUUCACAUCACCUUGUUUUCAGAGAGCCAGUAUUCCCUCAACCUCUUUACGAAAGCAGAAGUCCUCUGCUAGGGCACGGUGAAUCUUCCCCCUUCGAACUAGCUAAGUUCGUUUUGGCAUUCAACUUAUUGUAGUAGUUACUGAAGCUGUGGUGUUCGGUGGUGUGAAUCCGUUGUGUUUGCUAGCGCUUAAAGAGGAGCAGAUGAGAGGGAGGUUCGAGAUGGAUCCGGGAGAAGCAGCGGUGCAGCUUAGAUCUUCUUGUCUGGAUGUCUUAGGAGUAGUUUCAUGGCCAUGAGGCCUUUUGUAUUAGUUGCCCCGACUGGCAACCUUUUUGCAAAACUGUUGCCCCAUUUUGAAUUUCCUUUUGCUUAGGACUAUGUGGUACGCCUAAGUUUUCCUUUAAGUAAAUUCCUGAUGACUGUAAUAGUUACCUCCCUACGUUUUAUAUU